AAUGAACGCUGGCGGCAUGCCUAACACAUGCAAGUCGAACGAAGGCUUCGGCCUUAGUGGCGCACGGGUGCGUAACGCGUGGGAAUCUGCCCUCAGGUUCGGAAUAACAGCGAGAAAUUGCUGCUAAUACCGGAUGAUAUCGCGAGAUCAAAGAUUUAUCGCCUGAGGAUGAGCCCGCGUAGGAUUAGCUAGUUGGUGUGGUAAAGGCGCACCAAGGCGACGAUCCUUAGCUGGUCUGAGAGGAUGAUCAGCCACACUGGGACUGAGACACGGACAAGACUGCGAAGGGAGGCAGCAGUGGGGAAUAUUGGACAAUGGGCGAAAGCCUGAGCAAGCAAUGCAGCGUGAGUGAUGAAGGCCUUAGGGUUGUAAAGCUCUUUUACCCGGGAUGAUAAUGACAGUACCGGGAGAAUAAGCUCCGGCUAACUCCGUGCCAGCAGCCGCCGUAA
rnacentral:rRNA from 1 species